rnacentral:rRNA from 1 species
AUUGAACGCUGGCGGCAGGCUUAACACAUGCAAGUCGAGCGGUAACAGAGAGAAGCUUGCUUCUCUGCUGACGAGCGGCGGACGGGUGAGUAAUGCCUAGGAAUCUGCCUAGUAGUGGGGGGUAACUUGCCGAAAGGUAAGCUAAUACCGCAUACGUCCUACGGGAGAAAGGAGGGGACCUUCGGGCCUUUCGCUAUUAGAUAAGCCUAAGUCGGAUUAGGUAGUUGGUGAGGUAAUGGCUCACCAAGGCCGCGAUCCGUAACUGGUCUGAGAGGAUGAUCAGUCACACUGGAACUGAAACACGGUCCAGACUCCUACGGGAGGCAGCAGUGGGGAAUAUUGGCCAAUGGGGGGAACCCUGAUCCAGCCAUGCCGCGUGUGUGAAGAAGGUCUUAGGAUUGUAAAGCACUUUAAGUUGGGAGGAAGAGCAGUUAACUAAUAUUUGACUGUUCUUCCGUUACCGACAGAAUAAGCACCGGCUAACUUCGUGCCAGCCGCCGCCGUAA